rnacentral:misc_RNA from 1 species
UUUCGUUCGCUCGCUCGUCCCCACUUCCUUGGCGCGCUGGCCUUCAGACGGAGGGGCUGCGGGAGGGUUGGGCUGCAUGGUCUGCUCGGGGACCUCCCCCGGGGCUCUCCCCGGGGAAGCAACAGGGAUGUGUACGCAGAGAGUGGGGUUUGGAGAUCCGGGGGGGCGGGGCGCGGGAGUUGAUCGCCGCUGGCGCCGGCGAGCGGCCGGGCGAGCAGCCGCGCCCUGGGGGCGUCGACCCUCCCCCCCACGGACCCGGGGGCUGAAUGGGGUAGGCGGCUACCCCACGCCUUUCCGAGCUGCUUGAAGCUGUUCUAGUAAUGAUCCUUCCGCAGGUUCACCUACGGAAA